rnacentral:rRNA from 1 species
AACGGCCGUACCAUGCUGAAUAUACCGGUUCUCGUUAGAUCACCGAAGUCAAACAUCAUUGGGCGCGGUCAGUACUUGGGUGGGUGACCACCUGGGAACACCGCGUGCCGUU